rnacentral:rRNA from 4 species
AAUCCAUAGGUUAAUGAGGCGAACCGGGGGAACUGAAACAUCUAAGUACCCCGAGGAAAAGAAAUCAACCGAGAUUCCCCCAGUAGCGGCGAGCGAACGGGGAGGAGCCCAGAGCCUGAAUCAGCAUGUGUGUUAGUGGAAGCGUCUGGAAAGGCGCGCGAUACAGGGUGACAGCCCCGUACACAAAAGCGCAUGUGCUGUGAGCUCGAUGAGUAGGGCGGGACACGUGGUAUCCUGUCUGAAUAUGGGGGGACCAUCCUCCAAGGCUAAAUACUCCUGACUGACCGAUAGUGAACCAGUACCGUGAGGGAAAGGCGAAAAGAACCCCGGCGAGGGGAGUGAAAAAGAACCUGAAACCGUGUACGUACAAGCAGUGGGAGCACAGGUUUACCUGUGUGACUGCGUACCUUUUGUAUAAUGGGUCAGCGACUUAUAUUCUGUAGCAAGGUUAACCGAAUAGGGGAGCCGGAGGGAAACCGAGUCUUAAUUGGGCGUUAAGUUGCAGGGUAUAGACCCGAAACCCGGUGAUCUAGCCAUGGGCAGGUUGAAGGUUGGGUAACACUAACUGGAGGACCGAACCGACUAAUGUUGAAAAAUUAGCGGAUGACCUGUGGCUGGGGGUGAAAGGCCAAUCAAACCGGGAGAUAGCUGGUUCUCCCCGAAAGCUAUUUAGGUAGCGCCUCGUGAAUUCAUCU